UUCUGAUGUAAACCUGUGAUGGUCUCCUCAGCUGCCUCAAACACUGUCACAUCCUACUGUGGAUUCAAGCUGUCAGGAUGUUUACACGGCCACCUCAAAUUCCAUUCCGCUCUCUACAAAAACUUAUUUUUAGACGUGCACUGUCCCUUCUUAUACAUUCCUCAGUACUGGAUCCUGGACAAAUCUUUAGUCAACCUUAAAGUUUAGUUCAAAAGGCUCAUUUUCUCAUAGAGUUUGAGGCCAUUUUUGUGAGUGGAGGAACUUGAGGUUUUAGGAAUUUUAUUUAAAUCAUGGAGAUAUUUUCGACUCGAAUGGCUCUUAACUUUGAUCUUGGGUCUAGGCUGCCUGGUUGAAACUACUACUGGUUUUCUUUCUUUUUUUUUUUUUGAGAUGGAGUUUCGCUGUGUUGCCCAAGCUGGAGUGCGAUGGCGCAAUCUCGGCUCACUGCAACCUCCGCCUCCUGGGUUCAAGCAAUUCUCUUGCCUCGGCCUCCCAAGUAGCUGGGUUUACAGGCAUGUGCCACUAUGCCUGGCUAAUUCUUUUUGUGUUUAGUAGAGUUGGGUUUUCGCCAUGUUGGUCAGGCUGGUCUAGAACUCCCGACCUCAGGUGAUCCACCCACCUCUGCCUCCCAGUGCUGGGAUUACAGGCGUGAGCCACUGUGCCCAGCGAACCUACUGGUUGGUUUUCAAGAGUUGCAUCACUUUAACUGGAACAUAUCGGAAGAGUGGGACCAGAUUUUAAGCAAAUUCGUGUGCACUGUUUACUGGGAAAUAAUUAUGGUUUUCGGCACUGGCAAAUGGAGUCCUAUUUCUAAUGGGAGACAGUGGUUGGCAAACAUGAAACCCUGAGUUUCCCUCUGAGUCUGAGCUGUGAACUGAAGUCGAUGACAUUGACAAGUCUACUGGAAUAUCAUCUCUCAGAGCAGAAUGCAUGAAUGAUGCAGGAGGGUUAUAGGAUGAAUUCACUGAUGAUCUUGGAGAUAUUGGUCUGCCAGAAAUAAAGUAGUCAAGAGAAUUUUGAGAACUGUUUAAAUAGUCUUUCCAGUAUCCUUCAGAAUCAUGGGUGCCAGGCCUAUGUUCCACAGAAAUACAAUCACUCCAUACAUUUUCAGCAUUGACACCAACCUCUUGUCUGGGCUCGGAUUUGGUGUCCCACGAAAGAGGGCUCUUUUUCGCAUUUUCACUGCCACCUCUGUCCUUCUCUGUAGCAGAUUCCCUAUCAGGCAGCCCGGGGUCUUGGGACAACCUUUGCCCAGCAGAAGGCCGCUCUGUUGCUGGCUCCAUUGCAUUGCUUAUUCUCAAUGAGCCAUGACUGGGCUCACUUCUUCUUGAAGAAUGACCUCUGCAAUUUUCAGCAUUUUCUUCAAAAUUUUUAUUUUUGGCCUGAGGGGUCGAUGUCCCCCCAAAUCUACUUCUUUUGUGAUGGGAAGGAGAACAGGGUGAGCGCACACCAACCCACAGACAUUCUUCAGACUGGGUUUCCUCUUCAGUGUCAUCGCUUUCUCUUCUGCUGUUCAAUGACAAAAUGGAAUAAAAGUCUUCAUCUCGGAACCUAAAUGAUGCCUUUCUUGGCCCUCCUACAGUGGUGGGUGUGAGUGGUGGCCCCGAGAACUCACUCAAUACUUGAGGACUAUUUUUUCCUUGGAAGGCCUGGGACAGGGCUGGAUGCAGCUCACUCUGGGAAGGAGCACUCGGGUCUCCUUUUUUGGCUCUAUCAGGGGCGUUCUCAGUCAUUGGCUGUGACGAUGGGACCAAGUUUCUUCUCUCUUGAUUUGGCCUCUUCAGCUUAGUGUUACACAUCAGGCCUUCUUGUUGAACUACUUGAUCUGCAUUGAGAAAAGACACAUUUAUCGUUCCAGUAAAAGGGCCCAUGGAUGAAAGGCCUCUAGCACCAAGUGCAAAAUUGCCCUUUAAAUGCAACAGACAAGACCUAGAGAAGAAAACAGACACGGUCAAAAUGGCUGGAGGUACAAGAGGAGCAGAGCCCAGCAGGCUUCAUUUUACUGCCCCGUAUUCUCCUUUGUACCCCUGUGGUCCUAGGGAAAUGGGGGGACCCUGAGGAUACAGAUUCUUUCUGCAGAAGCUCCCGGAAGACUGGCCCAGCCCCAGCCAGUCAGGACUGAUGAUGCGCAAACCUCACACUAAAUACUGGCUUUUGUUCCAUACGUACUGAAAGGGAAAACCACCACUCUGGGAAUGACUUCUACAAAAACCACCAGCCCUUUCUCAUCCACGUUCAUUCAAUGUACAUUUAUGACACCCUGCCUCCCACGCAGCUUUACAAGAACUUAAGAGAAGUAUAACAUGUCUUGGCAGAUCAGGAGGAAGGCUAUAGGAGCUGGCGCCCGGGGAACACUGGGGAUUUUGGUCAUGUUUACUAUUUAGUGAAAAUAAAAAUUAUAAAUCGCUCAUGAAAUCGUUAUCUUCUCUUUGUCACUAGCCCCAGGUCAAUUCUGUAACUUCUGGCUGCCCUAGAAUCCCUACUAUGAAUUCCUACACAGAAUCACUGAACUGGCCAGAAGCAUGCUAACUGUCUCUCUCUGUCUCUCUCUGUCACACACACACACACACACACACACACACACACACACACAACUUAAGCCUCACAACCCUGUGAAAUAGGUAACACAAUCAUACGACAUUAUAACUUGAGAGUACCAAGGCUUAGGGCAGUCACAUAACUAGCCCAAGAUCCUAUUUCCAGUAAGUGAUGGAAUGAACAUUUGAACCCACGCCUGCUCGAUACUAGGGUUUGUGUUCUUAACCACCACCCUGUGUUAGCCCUUAAGAAACUGGCUGGCCUUCCGAUUUCCUUGUGAAAAUGAGAAUCCAUUGAAUUCAUCGUGGUGUGUGUGUGCUGUUGAGGGUCUUUUACCCUCUUGAUGUGAGAAGGAAACUGACAGUACUUCUCUGAUGCCACUUACCUUUAUUCCCUCCUGACAUCGGCCUCCCCCCGCUUUGUUCUCCUCUCUGCUAUUGUGUGGGAUCUGAUGAGAUGCUGCUCUUUUUAUCAUUCCAUUUCUAAAGCGGUUCACCCUGUAGAGUGGACGGGACUCCACGGGCCCUGGAAGGUCUGUGUUGAUAACAGCUCGGGCUGGUGAAAUGCAAAUCCUCAGAGCAUCGGGCACCACCAAGGGCCAAGUCAAUUCUGGCUCACUUUAAUUGGGGCUCCUCACAGGGGGACACCAGUGUGAGUCUCUAAUGUCCUAACACUCGGGCAGCUUCUUUUAUUGUUAACUGCAUGGGACACUCAGCAACGCAGUAUGAAUCUUGACUCAUCAGCUCUUCUAGAAAUCAGUUAAGCUCUCCUCUCAGGCCCCUCCUGGGUUUUAUAAACCCCAGUUAGAGAUGCAGCAGCAAUUCAAGGAUGCUUUGAGCAUCUGGCUGUGGAACUACAGCGCUGGAGCUGGUGGCGAGGCCACUCCAGACUGGGCCGACCCCCAUUUUGGGAACAAAUGCUUCUACGUAAGCAACUGAAUUCUCCUGAAAAUUUUUUAAAAUAGAAAAGGGGGCUGGGGGCUGUGGCUCACGCCUGUAAUCCCAGCACUUUGAAAGGCCGAGGUGGGCAGAUCACUUAAGGUCAGGAGUUCAAGACCAGCCUAGACAACAUGGUGAAACCCCAUCUCUACUAAAAAUACAAAAAUUAGCCGGGUGCUGUGGUGUGUACCUGUAAUCCCAGCUAUUUGGGAGACUGAGGCAGGAGAAUCGCUUGAACCCAGGAGGCAGAGGUUGCAGUGAGCCCAGAUAGUACCACUGCACUCCAGCCUGGGCAACAGAGUGAGACUCUGUCUUAAAAAU
rnacentral:lncRNA from 10 species